GACGAACGCUGGCGGCGUGCCUAAUACAUGCAAGUUGAGCGAUGAAGAUUGGUGCUUGCACCAAUUUGAAGAGCAGCGAACGGGUGAGUAACGCGUGGGGAAUCUGCCUUUGAGCGGGGGACAACAUUUGGAAACGAAUGCUAAUACCGCAUAACAACUUUAAACAUAAGUUUUAAGUUUGAAAGAUGCAAUUGCAUCACUCAAAGAUGAUCCCGCGUUGUAUUAGCUAGUUGGUGAGGUAAAGGCUCACCAAGGCGAUGAUACAUAGCCGACCUGAGAGGGUGAUCGGCCACAUUGGGACUGAGACACGGCCCAAACUCCUACGGGAGGCAGCAGUAGGGAAUCUUCGGCAAUGGACGAAAGUCUGACCGAGCAACGCCGCGUGAGUGAAGAAGGGUUUCGGAUCGUAAAACUCUGUUGGUAGAGAAGAACGUUGGUGAGAGUGGAAAGCUCAUCAAGUGACGGUAACUACCCAGAAAGGGACGGCUAACUACGUG
rnacentral:rRNA from 1 species